UACGUAGGGACCAAGCGUUGUUCGGAUUUACUGGGCGUAAAGGGCGCGUAGGCGGCUUGACAAGUCACUUGUGAAAUCUCCGGGCUUAACUCGGAACGGCCAAGUGAAACUGUCAUGCUAGAGUGCAGAAGGGGCAAUCGGAAUUCUUGGUGUAGCGGUGAAAUGCGUAGAUAUUCGGAAGAACACCAGUGGCGAAGGCGACUUACUGGACACAUAUUGACGCUGAGGUGCGAAAGCGUGGGGAGCAAACAGG
rnacentral:rRNA from 1 species